UGUAGCUUAUUUGGGGAAGUACAUGUCUGGUAUACAUGAGGUCCUGGGUUCAAUCCCCAGCA
rfam:Rattus norvegicus chromosome 6, whole genome shotgun sequence.